AUUGCGAUGAGUGCCCAGGGACUCUGCUGCAAUGCCGAUACUGAGAAGGAGUGACCACAAGGACAGACCCUUCUGCUACAGGAGCCCACCAGAGCUGAAGUGCUUAGUGGCUCUUUUUAGGUUUUUUUGAAAAUGCGUCCUCAGUAUGAUCUUCAGGCUGACCUCUAACUCACCAUUCUCCUGACACAUCCUUCCAAGGCCUGGGAUUACAGGAAGUCAGCCUCCAAAGCUCCUCCUGUAGGAUUCCUAUGAGACAGCUUCAUGAAGUCCUAAGGAGAAGGAGGCUGAAGCCUAUGGCCAAGAGACUGGCAGAAGCUGCUGAAGAACUGGUCCAUCACAUGGAUAUAUCAUGGUUCUAUUAGAACAAGCAUCUGGGACUUCCUCUCGAUUCAGGUUACAGUCCGUCAGGGAAGAAAGCCAAGGCAGGAACCUGAAAACAGGAACUGAAGCAGAGACUAUGGAGAAAGGCUACUCACUGACUUCUUCCUUGUGGUUUGCUCAGCUUGCUUUCUUGUACAACCUAAUACCACCUACUCAGGGGUUGUAUCUCACACAGUGGGCUGGAUCUUCUCACAGAAAUCAUUAAUAAGGAAAAUGCCCCAUAGGUCACUCUUCCAAGGAAAAUUAACCAGCAUAUUUCCACAGGGCUCCUCAUGUGACCACCUUGUGGGAAGAAAGCUCAAAUGUGGGGGACUGAGAGUGUGAAGACAGUGGACAAGUGCUCACUCUCCCAGGGAUGUCUGUUCUACUUGGUAGUCCAGGGUUGGCCUCUGUUGGGUUCUUCAUCAGCUCAUUAGCCUGGCAUGCUACCAUUGUGAGUGUGCUCUAUUUAUCAACCUCUUGCAUUCCAAAGAGUCCUGGAUCUGCCUCCUUUACAAAAUAAUACUGAGAGCGAAUGUAUUUGGUGUUGGUGCUAUCAUCUUGUGGAUGCUAGGCAAAAGUGUCUUAUCCUUCCUCCUCUCCAUCUUUCUGGAGUCAGGCCCAGGAGCACACUCUUAUAGAGCAACUCAGUGUGGGCUGUCAGCAAUCUGCCACCAUUGUCAAGAGUACAGAGAAACCUCUGAGGUCCCGAAUUUUCUGGAAUGUAACGAUUCUGCUGAUCCUGUUUGGCGAUUGCUAUUCCAAUUUCAAGAUGCUGAAAUCACUUCUUUGUUCUUUUGCUGACUCCCGCAGGCAGCUACAGAAGGCGCCUGAACACUAAACAGGGACUUAAAUACGGGUGGAUCAACCGAGAGAACGCUGUCUUGGUAGAGCUCUACAGGAAGAUUAAGAAGAUGUAUCCAGCACAAAUGCUGCGGGAACAUGACAGCUGCCAGAAUGAUUCCUGUGACAGGCUGACCUGUCAGUCAACACCCUACAGGCUCCUCUUCAACCAUCCUGUAGGCUUACCUUCAGCAAGCACAGGUGGCAGAAAUCCAUCAAUAUGAAGAAACAGAUUGAAUAUAUAUAUAUUGUGGCUUUGGUCUGAUUGGGAAUAAGGUGUGCUAUGACAGGCCACAGAGAUUUCUGGACUAUUCCAAAAUCUAAGACAGAAGUAUGUGCCAAGAGGCCGUGAUUUAUCAAUAAUACACCACAGAGCCAUGUUUGUGCAAAAUAAACACAAGCAAUCUACACAUACUCUCCUUGAGGGAUAGAAAUAGUUCAUAGAAAAUCUAAGUUCCCAAGCCAGGCACAGCCGCCAGCCACCAUAAUUCCCAGGCAGGAUCAUGGAGCAUAAAUAAAUUUCAUGCCCCAGUCCA